UUGAGAGACAGAGCAAAAUCUUUCUUUUGUUCUUACUCCAGGUCUCCUUGUUGACUCAGGACCUCCUGGCUGCAGGCUGAAGAGACAAAAGUUGAUGUGACCAUUCAGUUUCCUGCUCUGCCUUCUACGCCUGCCAGUUGCCAUGGCUUCCAGCUGUGAUGGACGCUCAUCUCUGGAAUCAUAGCCCAAAUAAACUCUUCCUUCUAUAA